UGAGGGAGCAAGUUCACUGUCAAGUGAUGU
rnacentral:piRNA from 1 species